CGGGCGUGGCCACGGGGUGGGCAAAGGGAACGAGUAAUGGCCCGCGGCUAGCUGCCGUGGCGGCGGCGCCGGGUUCGCAGCGUGAUGGAGGCGUUGCGGAUUUUCCGGAAGAACUCGUGCGUGUUGGUCUCCAAAUCAGUGGGCUGCUCGUGCAUGAGGAAAGCUUGUAAGGGUGUUCUCUCCGAGUCCAUGUCUGGCCGAGUCGGGGACCUUUGGGGCUGCGGUUCUGGCGCCGGCCACCAGCGAGGCCGCAUCUCGCCGUUGCUGAUCUGGAAAGACAUAGGGCGGCCGCCGGGAGGCCACAGGCGCCGAGGCAGAGAGUUUCGGCGUUGCGCUGAAGGGCCAGUUGUGUGUCAGGCGGAGGAAGAGCAAUAGGAUGCGCCGUCGCUCGCUCCUCCCAGUGGCGUACCGCCACCAACCAUACGUUAUGCAGAGGGAAGAUGUACAUCACAGCAUCACCCCCAACCUCUUUGGCCGAAUGGAUUUGGCGGAGCCUGAACAGCACGAAUGGCCAUUUUGAGUCGCUGGGUGACAUGAUUAUUCGAGGAGCAUGACCGGCAAACCCACUUUGAGUUUUAGCUCAUGGUCUGGGAUUCCUGGGGAUGUCAAGGUGUUUAGGAAUUCAGCAGGCUGCAUGUUCAUCAUGAUAUUGGUGUUUGUCGUUGCCUUGCACACGGUGUCCAGGCUUAGGUAUGUCACCUCAUCACCUUGUAUUUGGCUCAUGAUGUGGUCGUUUAUCUCCUUGACUGUAUCAUUUCUUGGACAGAGUAUUGCUCUUUCUUCUAGGUAAUCCCGCUCACGGUAUUUUUGCAGCAAGUUUGGAUAUAUGCUUUCGACGAUUAGUUCUUUAUGAUUUUCUCCUUUCUGUAGCAGUAGGUCCUUUGGUAUUUUUAUCCAAUCCUCUCCUUCAUCUGAUGCUGUUUUCCCAUCGCCAAUUUGUAGUAUCCACUCUGCAAAUUCGGCGACCUUUUGCUUUUGUAUUGGAUCAUCUGACAAACACUUCAGCCGCAUGUUUUGUGUUAACUCAAAUAUUUCAAAGUGUUUCCACAGAUAUGACCUUUUGAUUGUAGCAUUAACUAUUUGUUCUCUCCUUCCUUUGGUUAUAACCGGUAGGAUUUGUCUGAAGUCGCCUCCUAGUAUAAUUGUCAUUCCACCAAAUGGCUUUUCGUCGCUGUUUUCGUUAGUGAACCUGAGAAUAUCUCUAAGGCUUUUGUCUAGUGCCUCGAAGCAGUGUUUGUUUGCCAUAGGAGCUUCGUCCCACAAUAUAAGUGAGGUCUUCUUUAGUAGUUCAGCCAAAUGUGAGCCUUGUUUUAUUUCACACGUUGAUUCUUCAGUUAUAUUAAGUGGAAUGCGGAACCUUGAGUGUGCUGUUCUUCCACCUUGGAGAAGCAACGCUGCAAUGCCACAUGAUGCCACCACAAGCACUAUCUUCCCCUCUGAUCUUAGCUUCGUCGUUAGUGCUUUCCAUAGAUAGGUUUUUCCUGUGCCACUGUAGCCUUCGACAAAUAUCUGCUUUCCUAGCCCUUUGUUGACGGAUUCCAUUAUUUUAUCAAAGGCUUUCUUCUGGUCUUGGUUAAGAUUGUUUAGUAUGGUUUUGUGCUCAUCCUUGAGUUUCUCCAUGUCGUAGUUGACCUCUUCGUUUAUUAGUCUGUUCCCAAGUUCAUCUAGCUCUGCAGCAUUUGGUAGCUCUAUCUCUGUAUAUUCCUUUAAUGACUUUCCUACUUGCCUCAUCAGUUUUUCUAUCUCAAUCAGACCAUACGCUUGUUUCUGUGUGUUGGUGAGCUGAAGCGUUGGAAUGUUUAGAAUAAUCCUUCUUUUGUAUUGCAUAUCUUCACACAAUGCCUCCCAUGUUGAACCCCACAAUAUCUUUGGGUUUGUGACUUCGCAAUGGGACAAUAUGGUGGUGAAUAACUGACGCAGUUGUGCUCCUGAUGCCCAACUUGAUGCUUCAUUGAUACAGUCAAUCCACUCAGUGUCAUCAUCCAGAAAUCCAAGGGCUUGGCAUGCUGAUUUGUACGUUGGGUGAGUGACUCCAUCAAUGGUCCUAAUGUCCUCAAAUGAUGUGCAUCCUUUCUUGGUGUUUAGAAGCAUCCUCAGAUAAUGUCGCUCACCACUUGCGGGAUGUGCAUAGUAGAUUCUUCCAAUUGCAUAGUCCCUUUUUCGCUUCUGCCAACAUUUUGUUUCACGUUUCCAUACAAAUUUUGUAGGGAAUUCUGCAUACGUUAAUUCUUUCCCUAGCUCAUAUAUUUUAUUUGCCUCCAUCCAUUGAAUGAACUUGGUACUUUUAGAUCCUUCCCUUGUAACUAUCUUGUCAAGAUCAGUCGAGUCAGGAAAAAUCACUUGCUGCUCAUUUUCAAGAUGGAAAGGUAGCCUCUCAACGGCUGGAUCACGAUAGUGAAGAUCAAACUGGAAUAUCCUCCAGCAUGCUUCUGAUGUUGAUAUGUAUGCCAUCUCUAGGUAUUUCUUGAUCUCGUCAGUUUUGUUUGCUGUGAGCCUUUCCUUGAGCAAGGUUGUAACUUGAUCGUCGUCUUUGUCGAUAUACUUAUAUAGGUACUUGAUUGAUCUAGACCUAUUGCACCAUUCGACAUUUAUGUGAGCUUGAAAUUUGACCAGAAGAUCUCGGUUGUAUGGCACGACAAAUCUGUUGUCGAGCAUGACCACUCCCUUUUUGAUUUGCCUUCCGUCGUCCUUCCUUUUAUAUACUGGAAACCCGUCCUCGUCGAUGGUAGUACUAACAUUGUAUCUUUUUGGGAAAUGCUUGCUGCAUCUAUGGCUCACCAUGCAUGGUGAGUUUUGCUUAGCCUCUCCACAUGGGCCAUGCAUCAUGAAGUUCUCGACAGCUCCAAAUGCCUCAGGAUCCUCGUCCUUGUUUGGGAUCUCAGCGCUUAUUAUUUUAUCGAUUUGCGAUGGUUCUGGGUACUUGUCUUUGUCCUUCAGAAAUAUUAGUAUGUGGGCAUGCGGGAGUCCUCUCCUCUGGAAUUCUAUUGCGUAGAUAACUGCAGUUGGUUAAUAAUAGUUUGUUAAAUUUAGGUAAAAUUGAAAUGCAUCUUACUAAAGGGUAAGAAUUGUCUGACUAUAAGAUGACGCAUGAAAGAGUAAAUAUUGAUAGUUGAUGGGACUUACUUGCAAGUGUUUCUCCAAAGUAUUUCUUUUCUUUUAUGUCUCUCAUUAGCUCCUUUAGUUUUAUCAUAAAUACUCUGUCCAAAAUAUCUGGCCGAUCGGCUGGCUUUUGGCCACCUCCCGCUUCAUCUAGCAUGUAUUGGAUCUCAGGCCACUUUGCAUUGCAUGUGAAUGUUAUAAACAGGUCUGGGUAUCCAGCCCAACGACAUAUCGCGAAUGCAUCUUGCAAGUAUUGUGCCUUGUUUCUUCUACCACCUGUAAAAGAUGAAGGCACAAUUAUCCUCUUUCCAACCUGCUCUGUUCUUAUGUCCCCUCGCUUAAUUGCAUCCUGCAAUCCACUGUAAAGUUCAGUUCUUAGCUUUCCUUGAUUGUGUCGGAUCCAGUUUAGUCUAUUUUGCUCGAUACAUGUGUAUACAUCCACCCAAAAUUGCAGUGACAGAUGCCCAGACUUGAGCAAUAACAUUCCUUGGUCUGGACGUUGCUGUAGGUAGAAUGCAUAGUAGUCCAACAACGUUACGUAUUUCCUGCUGUUUUUAGCUCCUUUUGUUUUCUUGUACGGUAUCUCAAGUUUAAAACCAUCUUCUCCAUAUGGGAACAACAAAGGAUAUUGCAUGGACAUGAAUUUCGGGUGGAUCUCUGAUAUCCUUUGUGGCACCAUAUUUUUGUACUCGACAACAAUGUCACGUCCUUCACUCUCUCCAGUUGGAUCUCUUACUACCAAUGCUGCAACUUCAGAUGCGGAUGGAAGGUUGUGUGUUCCGUUCCUUUUUCCUAGUAUCCGAAGUGUGUAAUCAUGGUAGUCUCCUUCUUGGAAUCUAUCUCUUGCCAUUCUGAAUGUUUUUGCGAGGAUGUUGUUGUCGUCAAGCAUUAUUUGCAAUUCUUUGACAAUGUUGGGGUCCACUGUUGAUUUAUUAUCAUUGCAUCUUGACGCACUUAUCCUGUUUGCCACCUCAUUUUCAGUAUUAUAGAUGUACAGCUGUGCAAACCGAGGUUUGUCUAUACCUUCAGGUAAAAGAGUUCCGAUGUGGUGGUAGUUCUGUCCAUGCAAACGAAAAACAUAAGGUCCUUUGUGAGUGUUUAUUUCCUUGUCCACAACUCCUCCCAUGGAUGUGAAUGAAAACAUUGAGUUGUAUGACCUUAUAUUUUCUUUGAAGUUUACUGAAUCCUGUCCUUCACUUCUUAAGAGGUUUCUGAGGUAUGGUGGAGGCUCUCUUAGUGGUGGCAGAUCGAUUUUUCCCUGUUUGCAGCAUAUUCCAAAAGAGGGUGUCUUUGUUCCUUUGUUUGAAUUUAAUCUUUCUUCACACCAUAGCAAUGCUUUGCAAUACUGGCAUUUGUAUGUUGGCCUUCCGAAGUUCCAUGCCUUUCUAUUAGCACUUGUCGAGGUUGUGGUUCUGUUGUUGUCUCCAACAUUGAUUCUAAUGUUGUUUUUGUUGCUUCCGCUUCUUGCACACUUCAAUUCCUUAUCUUCUUCAGCACUAUCCUUUCUCAAUCGUUUAGGAGCCUCUGUGUUCGUAUUUCUUCUUCCCUCUCCAGUCCUUGUCUGCUUUGUGCUCCUUGAGUUUAGAGGUUGUUCUUCCUUUCUUUUUGUAUGAUGAGCUGCUGGGGCUGACGUAUGCUGGACUGUCAUCUCUGCAAAUGUGAUUUUGUCAGUGACGUAUAGAGUUUUCUUAAUAUAGUAUCAUGUACUAUGAUUUAUGUUGUACUCCCUCGAUAACUUAAUGAGACGUUUUUUUGACACUAUCAAAAAAUGUCUUAUAUUAAGUUACAGAGGGAGUACUUAAUAAUGUUUUGCCAUUGCAGACAUGAAAGUGCAUUUGGAGAUAUGAUGAAGAGACUAAUAAGGUGUCACAUAAAGUACAUUUAUCUGGUAUGACGGCACUAUAAAUCAACAAUUGUUCAAUAGGUGUCAUGGUAGUGUCAGGAUGCAUUAAAAACAUGCUUUACAGUUUAGUAUCAGAAGAGUUUUGACAUAGAAUAUUAGAAGGAAGGUUGAGCUGAGAUCAAAAUGCUGACACACAUGUGAGGAAUUGCAUGUGGAUAUUACCUGGUGUUGAUGUUGUGUCUUCAAUUUGGUGGACGUUUCUUUGCGCCUUCGAUUGUUUGGGCGUCGCGGGCGUAUAUUGGAUGCAAGUUGCUGGAUUUGUUGACAUGCCUUCGAUUUGUCGGCCAUCUCGUGUGUUCGAUUGUCUCGGCAUCUUGAAAAAGGAGCUAUUGUGAGAAAAUGCAGCAUGGGUCAGACCCAAGAGUUUAAUCAUAAAUAUCAUCUUAUAAAAUCAUGGUUGAAUGAUGAUUAUGUGAUGUAAGUAGUGACCAUACGUCUUUUUUGUUCUCCGAGACUAUGAUCUGACUGUUUGACUAAUGUAUCUUGAAGAAGGGACUAGUAUUGUGUGAUUA